UCAAAGACCGAAUCUCUCUCCUCUUUUUCUCAAGGCCGACGCUCGGCCUCUUCUUCUCCGCCGAGGACCGCUCGGCCACUUCCGUCCAGAAGUCUCGCCGCCUCUUGCUCCGGUCGGCGUCUGCUGCCUCCGUCGAGCGGCCGCUGCUCCGGACCUUGGCACCAGUAUACCUCCUUACAUCUCUCUUUCUCGCACCGCCCUCAGCCGAGG
rnacentral:lncRNA from 1 species